UGGUUUUCAUGUAAAGUUAGUACAAAGUCGAGUCGCUUAUUUUGAAACGGAGGGAGUAUGUUUGAGAAAUUGUUGGGUGCAAUUUUUUUGUUGAAAUCUUCAUGAGCACCUCGCUUUAACCCACGGAUUUGCUGGAUGCAGUUGCACAAUCGUGUUAAUAGUUGUGUCGGCUUGACAUGAAAUGGCAGUUUCUUAUGCAUUGUCCAAAUAACAAUGGUUCGUGCCGGUUUGAUUUUUUAAUAAUCAUGUACUAUAUAUUUUUGAAUUUAUUAUAUUUUUGCAGCAUAGAAAAUUGCAUAAUUUAGUCUCAGCAGACAUAUGUGUUAUUUUUUAGGGAUGUGUUAUUGUACGCAAAUGUAGGUGAUUAGUACGAAAUGUUACUUUUUAUGUUAUUUUUAGGGACGCAUUAUUGUACGCAAAUAUAUCUGAUUAGCACUCUUAUAUUAGUUUACGAAGGGAGUAGAAAUUUUUUAUGUUGUUUCUGAAAAAUGUAUUUUUUCUAGUAGAAGCCCAACAGGCUCACGUACAUGUGCAUAGCGUUCUCAAAAAAAAGCGUACAUGUACAUAGCCUCGUGUCCACACAUUUAUUCUAGAGAAAUCAGCCGGGUCACCAGCCGUCCGAGCUGUUCAUCUCAGCCAUUGAAAAAUGUCAACGCACACCAUCCUACUCCGCACACCGCAUCAGCCAACCCCUUGCUUCUAUCUUCGUCUAGCCGUAGCAAGACAGGAACGCGCCGAAGUUGCAAAAGCACCAUGGCCACCGCCGGCAAGCUUAGCAUUGCAACAACGGAGCUGCCACCGGCUUUGCAUCGUAGCUCCGGGAGCCGCCGCCGAGCCCAGCAAUGCAACACCGGGAGCUGCCGGCGAGAGCUCCAUUGGAGCACCGAGCGCUGCACUGCCGCUUCAAGCCCGCCGGUGAGCGCUUCAACGUAGCACCUGCAGCCGCCGGCGAGAGCUCCAUUGGAGCACCAAGCGCUGCACUGUAGCUUCGACAGUAGUCGGAGAGCGCUGCAAGGCAGCACCGUGAGCCGUCGGCGACAGCUCCAUUGCAGCCCCGACGGAGCUCCAAUGCAGCACCAAAGUCGUCCGACGAAGCUCGAUUGUAGCCCCGACGGAGCUCCAACGCAGCACCGACGGCAUCCGGCGAAGCUCCAUUACAUCUCCGCUCAUGUUUCCGGCGACCCGACGUUGCUCCAUUGCAGCUCCGGAGGUACUCCCAACGUCUUCAAGGCAACAGGACCGGAGUUGCAGCGCCCCUCGUCGGCUCCUCGCGGCGGUCACCGUUGCGUCACCGGAGUACUGACGGAGAUGCUCCAUUGCAGCUUCGGGAGGCCGCUGCAUCGGCGCUCUUAUGCAACACCGGGCGCUCCACCGGAGCACCGGCGACGCAUCACCGCCGCACUUUGCAACACCGGCAGCAAUAAGGCGGCGCGCGGGAAGCUGCAGGUCGACGCCGUGCUACUAGUCAUUGGCUGUUCCCCUUUUGCUCUGCAACAGCGGGCAGCGGUAGAAGGGGGAGCAGAGCUUGUGGCAAGUGUGGUUGUCGAUUUGCUAAGGACAGAGAGGGGAUCUGCAGGAGGGGGAAAGAGAGCAAGCGUGAGGAAGACGACGAUACACGCUGAUAAUGCAUGGCUGUGGCUUCGUGGGUGGAGAUAAGGCGGACGGUAAGCGGCGCGUGGGGCCAGCCAGAAAGGACGCGUGUCGAAAGCUGGACGAGGCUUAUUUCGCGUGGGAUCAUCCGGUUGAUUUUAAACCUUUUCCUUUAUUCUAUCGCACUCACCCAUUAAAAUUUUGUUUUUUAUUCUCUCACACUCACACCUUGACACACUCAUACGCGGCUCUUACCUGAUCCCCUUUUCAUUUCCUUCUUUUAUCUACUCGCUCCAAAUCUACUUCUGCCGAUGAGUUCUUGCGCCGCGGACUUGAUUCCUCCAUGUUAAAUUCCUUGCUGGCCUUGCUCGCACCACCUGCACGCACCUCUGCAGCUCGACUCGAUUUGGCUCCCUGUACUUUUGCUCAAUAUCUCAGGCCGGUCAACGGCGAUGUAGGGAUAGCAGGAGUAGAUUGGAAGUUGCGGGUUGGAGGAGGCCCGGCAGAUAAUCUUCAUCCUCGAUAGUGGUAGCCUGACUUCGGCGGCUCAUUCUUCCACCUGUGUGGCAUAGGUGUACAACAACGCGUUGUGUGGUUUGUCCUUACCUUCAAGAUCGUAGAGUACAUAUUCGGUGGUCUUUUUGGCCAUUCGUUCUGAAUACAUAAGGUCUGCAUCCAUUGUUUAUUUUUGUGUCUACCUUUUCUCCCACUGAUGUGAAAACAAACAUGGAGAUGUACAACAUGAUAUUUGCAUGUAGUUUUUUUCCUUAGCAAUUUUGUAGGGUAAGCUGGCGGCUCUCUCAGUGGUGGCAAGUCAACCUUGCCUUGUUGGCAGCAUAGUACGAAAGAUGACAUGCUUCUCGCUCUACCUAAAGUUUUGCUCUACCAGAAAAUUGCAUCACACCACUCACACUUGUAGCUUGGGUUUUCGACAUUCUGAAUUUCCAUAUUCAUCCUUUCCAGUGUCCUGUUCAAUUUUCUGAAUUCAGCAUCAAUUUACAUAUUCAUACUGUCUUAAUAGAACUUACAUAUCUGGUGCCCUUUCCUGUGUCCUCAAUUUUCUAUGUUGUACACUUUCUGUUACUUUUAGUCAUGUGCACGGGCAUAAUAGGAAGACCAGGUUGAUGAAUGUCCAAAUGGUAUACUGUCAUUGAGUUUUCUUGUUACUUACCUCGUAGUCUUACCAACCUUACUGAUUUUUUUGUGCUGCUGGUUCUGCAUUGCUCUUCCUUUGUAUUUUUUUUCUUUUCGUAUAGUCUUACAUGUAGCUUUCUCUGUUGAUUUGCCCUGCACAAACAUCAAUACCAUCUAGAAAUUUGUACUCUCGCUUCUGUUCUUGUUGUUGGCAAAAGAUUAAACUUUAAAUCAGUUCUAUAUGAUCUCUGCAGAUGGUACUUACUGGAGAUGGUCUGCUUGCUCGAUGGAGCCGAUGGCGCAGUCGAGGAGAUUGGGGCACUCGUAGAGUUUUUUUUAGGGAAAGCCAUUGUGGCUGUGCAUAUCAAUUUGGAAUAAUAUCUACAUAAUCCACAAGAAUCAGUAAAGAAAAGCUGGAGACUUGCCCUGUGAUGGGUGUCAGUAA